CCACUGGUGUCAGCCUCCUUCACUGUCAGUUUGCUGUGUGGCUUGGGAUCUGCUCAGGGUCUCUCUCUGGGUGGCUGGCUCAGGCUUCGGUUUGAGGUCCCUCUGUGCUCUUGGUGGAGCACUGGGUGCCUCUGUGUGGACCUCAUGGAUCUGUGUGCGGGUCUCAGAGAUUUCUUUUCCCUGAGAGUGGGCUCUGUAUGAGGUUCCUGUGGGAGUUUUCUCUGUGUGAACUCUGUAUCAUCUCUGACAGGUCUCAGUGGGGGUCUCUCAGAGAGGUCUCUGGGUGAAGUCUGUGUAUCUUCUCCAUGAGCUCUCUGUGGGGGUCUGUCAGGGGUCUCUGUGGAGGUCUCUCUAUAUGAUCUCUGAGAGGUCUCUGUGGGUCUCUGUGUGGGACUCUUGGUGGCGGGCUUCCCAUUGCUGGCUUUCUGAUCUUAUGGCAGGAGAAGGGCAGAGACUUGCCCCUUCUUGUUUCUUGCUGUUCUCUCAGUGUCGCCGUCUGUGUCACUUCUCCCAACAGGAGCCAGCUCCCCCCACCCCCAGCCCCACCUCUCACUGCCCCUGAGAGGACACAGCAGCGGCCAGUCUCAGGUCCCACUCUGGGCCACCCUCUCCUGAGCUCCCUAGGGUGUGCCCUGCUCUGGGUCCUGGUCCCUUCCCUGGUCCUGACUGCGCCAUCACUGCUGUGCCCACCCUGGAGGAUGGGGCCCUGAGGCAGGACCUGGCUCCAGGAAGAAAUCUGUGCCUGCUCCCCCCUCCUCCCUGGGUCCUGGGCCCACAUGUUGGGUCCUGACAGGCAGGGGCAGGGCCCUUCCUUCUGUCACCUGGAUCGGGUCCCCUCCUGGAGAAGGCCCCUCCACCGUGGGAGUGACCAUGACACAAAGCACCAAUGGCUCUAAAGAACUGCCCUGGUCCCCCAGCUUCCCGUGUGCACGGUGGGGGAGGGGACCCCAUGCACCCUCCUGCCCUGCAGGUCACUUCCUCCCUACUGUGUGACAAGUCCUGUCUGCUGGCCCUUCCCUCUCAGGGCUCUGGAGUGAGCAAGGCUGCUGCCAGGUGUCACUUGCUAGAACCCUAGGACAGUCCCUGGCCUCUUAAGUGCCUGGGAGCCUCCUAGGGCCAUGUAUGUAGGUAAAGGUCACAGACUGCGAGUCUGUCCUGAGCUGCCCCUGCCGUGAAAGCUGAUGAGAUCAUGGUGGGGAAGUGACCCGCCCUGUUGAGGCUCUGCUGCCUCCAUGAGCCUCCCCCCCACCUCCAUGAAGGAGCUACAGGCAUCUUUCCUCUGGGCUCUGGGAGCUGGAGGAGCAGGGAGGUUCUGGGGUAGGGCCACCAAGAGCCAACUUCUCUCUGGGCCAGAGAUGUGGUGGGACAUCAGAGGCUCCUUGGUCACUGCACCUUGCCUGCAUCCCAGCCUGGGCACCUCUUCCACUUGCCUCCUUCCCGGCAUCCCAGCCUGGGGCACAGUGUCCUCUGACAGGUGGUGAGGUGACAGCACACAUGGUCAUGGCCCUGCUUGUCCCCCAAGGGAUGUGGGCACUGUGAGCAGGAGGAGUGGACAGGCCCUCAGUGGCCUCAAUGGCCCCCACCCUCCCCCCACACCCUCACAGCUGGGACUGCCUGGUCCUCGUCCUUGCCGCUGCUCCAGAGCGUGAGAAAGGCAGAGAGAGGGUGACCUCCUGGGCCAUCUCCCCCCCAGCUCCCUCAGCCAGAGGAGAAGCUUCCCAGGUGGAGGUCAUCUCUGCCCACCAAGGCCUGGGGGGCAAGGCUGCCCGCACCCCAGCGCUGCCCCCAAAUGCCCUCCUUAUUCUGACAUGGGAACUGGUCUCUGACACUUGUUGGAGCCUGAGGGGCAUUUCAGCCUCUGCCACCCACCCCCGUCCCCUACAGCCACACAAGUUCAAGGUAGACAGAAAGCGGGAGAGGAUGGCUGAGCCAGAUGGUGGCAUGGGGGAAGUCUUCCAGGUUGCGUUCCCCUGCCAUGUCCUGAAUGCUGUCGCUUGCUUCGGUAAUUCUGGUAUUAGGGGAGCUUCAGGUGCAACGAGGGAACUGGGGGCGAGCAUUCCACCUUGGGGCCAGCCUCCCUCUGUGGCCCUGUCCCUUCUGGAAGCCAAAGCAGACACCUGGGAAAAGUGGACCCUGACCCCAUCCCCUCCCCCUGAAGGCACAGACAGAAACCGCCACCUCUUAGGGGAAAGAAACAUAUAUUUGGGGAAACAAUGAACGUUAUGGUAGGAAUAAGCCAUUGGCACAUAGAGGAUGUGCUAGCAUGAGGGAGAAACAGGUUUCCUUAGUAUGGACUGAAUUUUCAUAUCAGGCAAAGCUUGAGGAGCACACCCUGGUUGACCAGCAGAUGCACAUUUUUGAGGAGAGCAUGUCAGGUGAUGGUGCAGGUGGCCUGAGGUACCUGCCACUAUUGGUCCCUGCUGGCAGGGUCUGCCUGGGGUCCCUAGGUCCUUGGGUGGGGAGGACCACUUGCCACCCUUGUCUUUGGUGCCCCCACUGUUGAGAGAGCUGUGGUCCUUGGGGGUGGUUUGGUGACCGUGAACUCGAUUUCUCAACAGUCUUUUCUGUUCUAAGAAGGCGUGAACCUUCUGGUAGUGAGACUGCCCCCCUGCUGGGGGCUGGAGCCGCUAUGUGUGCUGGUUUAACUCUGAGGGCUGGAGGUCUUGACGAAGCCCCAGUUGCUCUCCCAGGAUCUGUCCAAUAACAGUUCCAGUCACCUCAGCUUCUGGAGCCCCAGAUCCCCCUUGGACUGGUUCCUGGCAUGGAGCAGUGAGUGAUACAGGCUUGCCUUUUUGAGGGACUGUUUCCAUUCCUUUACCUUUUUUAUGGGGACUUACACACUGCAGAAAGUGCUUCAUCCUUCUUCUGAAGUAGCUUUCCAGUAAAAUCUGUUGCUUCCCUGGAGAGAACGGGAGGUCUUUGCUCCCAAGGGACUCUCCUCUUUCCUUGACCUUGGGAGGAUGGCUCACACCAUUGGCUUGGGAAGCCCUUAGACCUGAAAACUUUUCUUCAUACUCUUCUGGUUGGAGCCUUGUAAGUCCCCUCUGCUCAUCAUUUGGAGCAAACCUCUCUCUCCAGCUCUUUCUUUGUUUAUGUGCUUUUGGCUUGGGCCUCUUGAAGCCCUGCCACUCCUUAGCUGGGGCAAACAUCUCUCUCUGGCCAUUUGUUUCAUUGUCAUCUUCUGGUAGGAGCCACUCACAGACCUCCUCCUCAUCAUCUGAGACCAUCUGGCCCUUACAUGGGUCCCUCACUUUUGGGUUUGGGGGUUGCUGUUGGCCCUGGCUGCUCUUUGAGUUUUUGUGCUCUUCAGGUUGGAGCCUCUUAAAUCUCCUCCACUCAUCAGUUGGGGCAAGCAUCACACCCUGGCUAUUGUAUGGGUGCCUAAGUUUUGGUUUUGUGGAUUUCUGCUGCCCUUGGCUGCUCUGUUCACUCCCUUUGAGGUUGUAUGGUACCUGGGAAGCUGGCCCAUCCUCACUAGCAUAUUCUCUCUGGAAAUGGGACAGGGAGCUCUGAGAAGCCAAGAUGUCUGAAGCAAGGCGCACAUCAGUGUGAGAGUCUUGAAGGAGCACAGUGGUGACAGCAUCCUGGAGGAGCAUGCCAGUGGCAGAGUCUUGGAGGAGGACAUCUGUGUGAGUAUCUUUAAGGUCCUCAUCGGUGGCAUGGCCUUGAGGCUGAUUCUUUGCCUCUACCAGACCUCUCCGUUCAAACUUACUAGCCACCUGUGUUUUAAGGCAAGGCUCCUUUGGGUCUUGGGCCAUUGACUUUGUCAGCGGUGAUAGGCUUGUGCUAGUGGCUGGAAA
rnacentral:lncRNA from 1 species